UAAUGCACGUUGGCUAAUCUUGAUAUUUCUUCAGUUUUACUGAAGGAAACUCCUGGACGUCUUCAAGGUAUAAAAGCUACGCUGACGUUCCAUGAACACGCCAAAAUCCUGCGCUCCAAACUCAACAAAAGAAACAACGUUCUCAAGUGCCAAGCCGGCACCACGUGGGGCCAGACCAAGGAGACCAUCCUCACAUCGGAAGGUCGAUCCUGAACUACGCGGUGCCCGUGUGGAAUCCCAACGUGAAGCCAACUCACUGGGACUCCCUCCAGGCAGCUCAAAAUGCUGCCCUUCGAACCGCCACGGGCUGCCACAAAAUUGUUUCCAUCGAUCUGCUACACGGCGAGUCAAAACUCCUUCGGGUACGCGAGCACAAUGUGAUGCUCACGAAAUAAUACGCUCUUCAGUGCAACCUCGCCGGACAUCCUCAUCACGAGAUGACAAGAAGCGCGCCCCGGAGCGUUGCGCAAAACCGUCCGAGAUAUCGAGCCGUCGAUCGAGCGGUACGUUCAUCGGCCGUCCGUCGACGCAGAGGACGACAGGCGCGGCCUCUCGCCGAUCCAUCGAACCGGCGUAGCCGACGGGAACCCAACAUCGUCUUGGGCGGCUACCCGCCUCCGGUAGCCGAAUCCGAAAGACAACUCCCGCUGCCCGAGAGAUCGACGCUAUCGCGACUCCGUUCGGCCUGUCGUCACUACCUCGACAACUAUCAUCAUUGACUCGAUGACAACAUAAAAUGCCCGUUGCAUGACGUCGCCCCCGUCACGACAUGCAUCGUCUCUUCAACCGUGCUCAAAAACCGACCACGCUGACGGUGGAACACCUGCGGCGCGCCCCGACCGAUGUGGCGCACUUUCCGGACCUUGAUACGGAAUAACGACCGCCGUACUUGACUACAACAACGAGGAAACUUGGACUCCUGCAAGAAGUGAAGAAAAAUUGGAUUGAAGGUCAAAUGAGGCAGUUGAGGGCGGUCUGUGCUCUUCCUCCGGGUGGCGCUCCGUCCUAAGGCCAGGGCUUGUCUCGCGCGCAGUGACGAUAGCGGUUCAACGCGAGAGCGGUAAAAGGCGGGCCGCCUCUGGG